AAACUUGAGAGUUUGAUCAUGGCUCAGAACGUACGCUGGCGGCACGCCUAACACAUGCAAGUCGAACGAAGUAGCAAUACUUAGUGGCAGACGGGUGAGUAACAUGUAGGUAUCUGCCCUUUGGCCUGGAAUAACACGAGGAAACUUGUGCUAAUACCGGAUAAGUCUUUACGGAGAAAGCUUUAUGCACCAUUGGAUGAGCCUGCACUUGAUUAGUUUGUUGGUAGGGUAAUGGCCUACCAAGACUGUGAUCAAUAGCUGAUUUGAGAGGAUGAUCAGCCACAUUGGGACUGAGACACGGCCCAAACUCCUACGGGAGGCAGCAGUGGGGAAUCUUGCACAAUGGAGGAAACUCUGAUGCAGCGAUGCCGCGUGAGUGAAGAAGGCCCUUGGGUUGUAAAGCUCUUUCGUCGGGGAAGAAAAUGACUGUACCCGAAUAAGAAGGUCCGGCUAACUUCGUGCCAGCAGCCGCGGUAAUACGAAGGGACCUAGCGUAGUUCGGAAUUACUGGGCUUAAAGAGUUCGUAGGUGGUUGAAAAAGUUAGUGGUGAAAUCCCAGAGCUUAACUCUGGAACUGCCAUUAAAACUUUUCAGCUAGAGUAUGAUAGAGGAAAGCAGAAUUUCUAGUGUAGAGGUGAAAUUCGUAGAUAUUAGAAAGAAUACCAAUUGCGAAGGCAGCUUUCUGGAUCAUUACUGACACUGAGGAACGAAAGCAUGGGUAGCGAAGAGGAUUAGAUACCCUCGUAGUCCAUGCCGUAAACGAUGUGUGUUAGACGUUGGAAAUUUAUUUUCAGUGUCGCAGGGAAACCGAUAAACACACCGCCUGGGGAGUACGACCGCAAGGUUAAAACUCAAAUGAAUUGACGGGGACCCGCACAAGUAGUGGAGCAUGUGGUUUAAUUCGAAGAUACGCGCAGAACCUUACCAACACUUGACAUGUUCGUCGCGACUCUAAGAGAUUAGAGUUUUCGGUUCGGCCGGACGAAACACAGGUGCUGCAUGGCUGUCGUCAGCUCGUGUCGUGAGAUGUUGGGUUAAGUCCCGCAACGAGCGCAACCCUCACUUUUAGUUGCCAUCAUUAAGUUGGGCACUCUGAAAGAACUGCCAGUGAUAAGCUGGAGGAAGGUGGGGAUGACGUCAAGUCCUCAUGGCCCUUACGUGUUGGGCUACACACGUGCUACAAUGGUAUCUACAACAGGAAGCAAGACUGCGAAGUUAAGCAAAUCCCUAAAAGAUACCUCAGUUCGGAUUGCACUCUGCAACUCGAGUGCAUGAAGCUGGAAUUACUAGUAAUCGUGGAUCAGCGUGCCACGGUGAAUGCGUUCCCGGGUCUUGUACACACCGCCCGUCACACCAUGGGAGUUGGUUCUACCUUAAGGCAAGGUUUCAAACCCUUGACCACGGUAUAGUCAGCGACUGGGGUGAAGUCGUAACAAGGUAGCCGUAGGGGAACCUGCGGCUGGAUUACCUCCUUU
rnacentral:rRNA from 1 species